UAACCUUUAUUAAAGUGUAAAUCAUAAAUUUUGGUAAAAUCAAAAUAACUCCUCAUUAAAUUUCUAUUAACUACAUAAGUAUAUAAUUAAAAAGCAUUAUAAUUUUACGGUUUACACACGGAUCCACACAUACAACCUCUCUUUUAUUAAUAUCUAGUUUUGGAAGUACAAAUCAAAAUAAAGGUCACUUUGGGAAAGGAAGAUGCAAUUUGUGGUUCAUUGAUUCAAGGGUGGUUCAUGUAGCUUAAUUUUCAUGCCAUCUCAUCCAAUCUUCUAGCCAUCUUCAAGAUCAUCCAAUCCCUAAUCAAGUUUUCUUCAAGGUAUGAUCAUUCUAUCAUCAUUUUGGUUUGGGAUGCAAGGAAAUUCAAGUUUGCACAAGGUAGCACAAGGUUGGUUGACCUAAUUUGUAAGUAUGGAUCACUAUUGGUCCGAAGCCCAGAACUUAUUCAAUUUUGGACUAAUUGAUAAGAUUCUUUGAGAAAAAU
rnacentral:lncRNA from 1 species